GAUUCCUACGGGAGGCAGCAGUGGGGAAUAUUGCACAAUGGGGGAAACCCUGAUGCAGCGACGCCGCGUGAAGGACGAAGUAUUUCGGUACGUAAACUUCUAUCAGCAGGGAAGAAAAUGACGGUACCUGACCAAGAAGCCCCGGCUAACUACGUGCCAGCAGCCGCGGUAAUACGUAGGGGGCAAGCGUUAUCCGGAUUUACUGGGUGUAAAGGGAGCGUAGACGGCAGCGCAAGUCUGAAGUGAAAUCCCAUGGCUUAACCAUGGAACUGCUUUGGAAACUGUGCAGCUGGAGUGCAGGAGAG
rnacentral:rRNA from 1 species